GGAGGGAUCAUUCAGAGAUAUUUCUUUGCUUUUGAAUCACAAGCGCAUGCGUAAGCGCUUUAAAGAGUGAGUUGAGUGAGAUACUAUUGGCUUAUCAGCGAUGGACAUAUUGGUUUCCCAAUCGAUGAAGGACGCAGCAAAACGCGAUAAUCAGUGCGAAAUGCAGAUUUACGAGAGUCAUCAGGUUUUCGAACGCAGACUGCGCGGAGAUAUAAAAUCUACGCUCGAGAUGUUAAGUGACUAUUUUAACGUUGUUCUCAAAGAACGAGGGGCAUUAUAAGUAAUAAACAUUUGUGCUGUUUUGAAAAAGCACGAUGGUGUGUUUUCGCAGGAUUAAGUCAUGAUAAUCUCGAGGUUAUCCGUUAAACUUAAGCAUAUUACUAAACGGAAGAAAAUAAAACAAAUGUGAUGCCUGUAGUAACGGCGAGUGAAGUAGGCCGAUCCAAUGAUUAAAACGCAACUUAAGUGUUGCAUGAAAUGUUGUGACAUGCUUCUGGCUGACAACUGGAUCAAAGGUUUUUGGGAUAGAACGAAUGUAAGGGUGAAAUCACCGUUGAUUCGAGUUUGUUCGCGCAAAGAGGUUGUUCCAUGAGUCGUGCUCUUUGAUAUUGGAGCACAAAAUACGUGGUAAAUUUCACGUACGGAUAAAUACUAGUGGAAUUCCGAUAGCAAACAAGUACUAUGAAGGAAAUUUGAAAAGGACUUUGAAGAGAGGGUUAAACAGUGCUCGAAAUUGCUGGUAACGAAGUGGUGCAGUCGUCCCGUGGUCCAUAAAUUGUUGGCACCUUGACGCGCGUUUGGGUCCGAUUGUUUUUAUGGACAUUGCCGGUCUUUGCUUCAAACGGAUGACAAAGGUACUUGUGCUGUGUUAUCAACAGAUUCACAACAUGUGCAAUUGGUUCAUUUUGUUGCAGGUUGACAUUUAAGCCCAUACAAACUUUAGAGAAUUGGGUGGUGUAGAAGGGUUAAAGAGGACUGUACCUUCCCGUCUUGAAACACGGACCAAGGAGUCUACCACGUAUGCGAGUAGAUUAGUGGCAAACUAUCAUGCGAAAGGAAACUGAUUGGAUCUACAAAUAGUUUAACCGCUAUGUUUCUUUUGAAAUUUAGCGAGAGAGAGCAUACCUGUUAGGACCCGAAAGAUGGUGAACUAUGUCUGAGGAGGGUGAAGCCAGAGGAAACUCUGGUGGAAGCUCGUAGCAUUACUGACGUGCAAAUCGUUUGUCAAACUUGGAUAUAGGGGCGAAAGACUAAUCGAACCAUCUAGUAGCUGGUUCCAUU
rnacentral:misc_RNA from 1 species